GAUGAACGCUAGCUACAGGCUUAACACAUGCAAGUCGAGGGGUAGCAGGGUAGCAAUACCGCUGACGACCGGCGCACGGGUGAGUAACACGUAUCCAACCUUCCCAUAACUCGGGGAUAGCCUUUCGAAAGAAAGAUUAAUACCCGAUAGUACUUAUAUAGGGCAUCCUACAUAAGUUAAAGAUUUAUUGGUUAUGGAUGGGGAUGCGUUCCAUUAGAUAGUUGGUGAGGUAACGGCUCACCAAGUCUUCGAUGGAUAGGGGUUCUGAGAGGAAGGUCCCCCACAUUGGUACUGAGACACGGACCAAACUCCUACGGGAGGCAGCAGUGAGGAAUAUUGGUCAAUGGGCGAGAGCCUGAACCAGCCAAGUAGCGUGAAGGAUGAAGGUCCUAUGGAUUGUAAACUUCUUUUAUAGUAGAAUAAAGUGAUCCACGUGUGGAUUUUUGUAUGUAUACUAUGAAUAAGGAUCGGCUAACUCCGUGCCAGCCGCCGCAGUAA
rnacentral:rRNA from 1 species